UGGGUAUGUUGGUGUCCUUAACACUGAGC
rnacentral:piRNA from 1 species